GAUUGAACGCUGGCGGCAGGCCUAACACAUGCAAGUCGAGCGGAUGAAGGGAGCUUGCUCCUGGAUUCAGCGGCGGACGGGUGAGUAAUGCCUAGGAAUCUGCCUGGUAGUGGGGGAUAACGUCCGGAAACGGGCGCUAAUGCCGCAUACGUCCUGAGGGAGAAAGUGGGGGAUCUUCGGACCUCACGCUAUCAGAUGAGCCUAGGUCGGAUUAGCUAGUUGGUGGGGUAAAGGCCUACCAAGGCGACGAUCCGUAACUGGUCUGAGAGGAUGAUCAGUCACACUGGAACUGAGACACGGUCCAGACUCCUACGGGAGGCAGCAGUGGGGAAUAUUGGACAAUGGGCGAAAGCCUGAUCCAGCCAUGCCGCGUGUGUGAAGAAGGUCUUCGGAUUGUAAAGCACUUUAAGUUGGGAGGAAGGGCAGUAAGUUAAUACCUUGCUGUUUUGACGUUACCAACAGAAUAAGCACCGGCUAACUUCGUG
rnacentral:rRNA from 1 species